AUACGGAGGAUCCGAGCGUUAUCCGGAUUUAUUGGGUUUAAAGGGAGCGUAGGUGGACAGUUAAGUCAGUUGUGAAAGUUUGCGGCUCAACCGUAAAAUUGCAGUUGAUACUGGCUGUCUUGGGUACAGUAGAGGUGGGCGGAAUUCGUGGUGUAGGGGAUAAAUGCUUAGAUAUCACGAAGAACUCCGAUUGCGAAGGCAGCUCACUGGACUGCAACUGACACUGAUGCUCGAAAGUGUGGGUAUCAAACAGGAUUAGAUACCCUGGUAGUCCACACAGUAAACGAUGAAUACUCGCUGUUUGCGAUAUACAGUAAGCGCCCAAGCGAAAGCAUUAAGUAUUCCACCUGGGGAGUACGCCGGCAACGGUGAAACUCAAAUGAAUUGACGGGG
rnacentral:rRNA from 1 species